rnacentral:rRNA from 1 species
UGGGGAAUAUUGCACAAUGGGCGCAAGCCUGAUGCAGCAACGCCGCGUGAACGAUGAAGGUCUUCGGAUCGUAAAGUUCUGUUGCAGGGGAAGAUAAUGACGGUACCCUGUGAGGAAGCCCCGGCUAACUACGUGCCAGCAGCCGCGGUAAUACGUAGGGGGCUAGCGUUAUCCGGAUUUACUGGGCGUAAAGGGUGCGUAGGUGGUCUUUCAAGUCGGUGGUUAAAGGCUACGGCUCAACCGUAGUUAGCCUCCGAAACUGGAAGACUUGGGUGCAGGAGAGGGAAGGGGAAUUCCCAGUGGAGCGGUGAAAUGCGUAGAUAUUGGGAGGAACACCAGUAGCGAAGGCAGCUUACGGGGGCGCAAAUGACGCUGAAGCUCGAAAGGGGGGGUAUCGAACAGG